CUGGCCACAGAGAAUGUUCCCACCUCUUCAGCUUCAUCUUCUUGAUCCCAAUUCCUAUCUGUCAGUUCCUUCUCGGCUUUUGGCCAUGUUUUCGAACCUCCUCAGCGGCCGCCGCUGCACUCGCUGGGUCUUGGGUGCCGCGAAACCCGGGGCGCAGCGGCGCAGGGGUCUCGAGCGGCUGGUGGUCGCGGGGCUGAGGGCGCUCGGCCGCUUCCGGUCCUGCGCUGCGGGCCUCAGAGGACUUGGUGCUCGGCAAACCCAGAGACUCAAACGCCAUGUCCGGGGGGUGGGGGGAGCGGCGGUAGGGGAGAUCCUCACGCUGUGUUCGGCAGCGAGGCGGCGAGACGCGCCGGUUCAGCCGGAGACCGCUGUGGGAACCGCGCCGAACACGCUUUGGGCGGCCAUUUUGUAACUCGAAUCUACCCCCAAAACCAAUUCGAAAAAAAGGGAGGAAAGAAACGCCCCGACAGUGUUCUGAACUGGGUUGAACACACAAAGGAUGCUACAAUUUUCCACUUGUAUACAGGUCCCUCCAAGACUUCGCUUCUCACCAUGAUUCUGACAUUGAUAUGAAAACACACAAGAUUUCACUUCUCACCAUGAUUCUGACACUGAUAUGAUCACUGAAUGACCGUUUUCAGCAAUUCGGGCCUAUAAAAGUGUGAAAUAGAUUUUUUUUGAAAGUCCUAUUGUAUAUUCAAAAUUCUGUAACACUAGUGGUUUUCUUCACCUUGUAGCUUAUUAUGAUAAGCACUAAUUUUGACUCUGACAUUUCAACAGGAGCACUUAGUUAUAGACAACCAGGAAUGUUCAAGAAUGACUCAGGAGUAUUUUAUUGACAAGGUAAUCUUUGAGACCAGGGGGUCCUCCUCCCCCCAGCUGGAGGAAUUACACCUGGGCCCAACUUCCUGAAGUCUCAAGGUGGAAUAUAUCUGGUAUUCUUUGUAACAUAUUUCAAUAUUCAGUAGCCAAGUUCAGGCUAUUUCGUGC
rnacentral:lncRNA from 1 species